rnacentral:rRNA from 1 species
UACGGAGGGUGCGAGCGUUGUCCGGAAUCAUUGGGCGUAAAGGGCGCGUAGGUGGCCCGGUCAGUCAGUGGUGAAAGCGCGGGGCUCAACUCCGCGUCGGCCAUUGAUACUGCUGGGCUGGAGCACUGUAGAGGCAGGCGGAAUUCCGGGUGUAGCGGUGGAAUGCGUAGAGAUCCGGAAGAACACCGGUGGCGAAGGCGGCCUGCUGGGCAGUUGCUGACGCUGAUGCGCGACAGCGUGGGGAGCAAACAGG